AUAUAUUAAUUAUUUUUAUAAUAAAUAAAAAAUAUAAAUAUAAAUACAUUUUUUAAAAGAAAAUAAACAUAAUAAGCUAAUUAUAUAAUGACUCUUUGGGUAAAGUUGUUACUGGGUUGAUCAGUAGAAGAAAGUUCAACCACUUCUUUUGGGAUAUUCGCAAAUAACUUCAGUUUAAAGCUUGUAUCAAAUGCCAUUUUGGUUAGGUAGUGAGCAACUUUAUUAAAGUCUCUUGGAGAGUGUUGUAUGGUCUAAGGUCCAGUGUUUUUAAGAAGAAGAUGAAUAUGUCUAACAAGGGCAAUGUUCAAAUUAGUCAAUGAAGAAUCCUGAAUGACAUUGACUGUCUCCAAGCUAUAUGUUUAAAACUUCACGCCGCAUAACGCAUAUCUUGAAUGAUGGUCAUCCGUAAAAAAUACCCCACAAUUCAAC
rnacentral:lncRNA from 1 species